rnacentral:rRNA from 1 species
AGACCGAUAGCGAACAAGUACCGUGAGGGAAAGAUGAAAAGAACUUUGAAAAGAGAGUUAAACAGUGCGUGAAAUUGUUGAAAGGGAAACGCUUGACACCAGUUAUGCGGGUGGAAAAUCAGUCUUUUGCAAUGGGGAGUUGUGGGCGUUCAGACCGCAAGGCUGGCGUUUGCUUCAUCUUUGUUGUAAGUGAUGCACUUUUUCAUUUGCAGGUCAACAUCAGUUUGCUUUGCUGGACAAAACUCCAAGGGAAGGUGGCAGCUUAGGCUGUGUUAUAGCCCUGGAGCGAUACAGUGGAGUGGACUGAGGUUUCGCAGUGUGUGCUUUUAGCAAGGCUGACUGGGUGCUAUGGGAUCGUUCGGCGUACAAUGCAUGCAUUUUGCGUCGUGUCUUUUUCAUACUCGCUCAACUCGGCUCUUCCACGCUUAGGAUGUUGACUUAAUGGUUUUAAUCGACCCGUCUUGAAACACGGACCAAG